GGAUGCGAGGGUGAUUUGGCUGUGACAUCUGUCACCCCAUUGAUCACCUCAGUUGAUCUGGUGGAUCCAGCUGGCUGUGUUGGAGUCCCCUUCCUCCUCACCACUCCAUGUGCUUCCCUCCUGAAGCUGUGCACUUGGUUGAAGUGGAUGACCUCCCCAGAUAGAGGAGGACCAUUGUUUGGUGAAGGUAUAUGAAUAGAUGUGGUACCCUGCGAGAACCUCUAAACAAACUCUCAACAAAGCAGUCUCAAAAGAGGAAAGGGAGCCAGGUGUGGUGGAGCAUGCUUGUAAUCCUAGCACUCAGGAGGCUGAAGCAGGAGGAUCACUGCAAGUUAGAGGCCAGCCUGGGCUACAUAGUGAGACACUAUCU
rnacentral:snRNA from 1 species